rnacentral:rRNA from 1 species
AUUGAACGCUGGCGGCAUGCCUUACACAUGCAAGUCGAACGGUAACGGGCCUUCGGGUGCCGACGAGUGGCGAACGGGUGAGUAAUACAUCGGAACGUGCCCGAUCGUGGGGGAUAACGAGGCGAAAGCUUUGCUAAUACCGCAUACGAUCUACGGAUGAAAGCAGGGGACCGCAAGGCCUUGCGCGGACGGAGCGGCCGAUGGCAGAUUAGGUAGUUGGUGAGAUAAAAGCUUACCAAGCCGACGAUCUGUAGCUGGUCUGAGAGGAUGAUCAGCCACACUGGGACUGAGACACGGCCCAGACUCCUACGGGAGGCAGCAGUGGGGAAUUUUGGACAAUGGGCGCAAGCCUGAUCCAGCCAUGCCGCGUGCGGGAUGAAGGCCUUCGGGUUUUAAACUGCUUUUGUACGGAACGAAAAGCCUUCUUUUCAUACAGGAGGGUCAUGACGGUACCGUAAGAAUAAGCACCGGCUAACUACGUG